ACGAAUAGAUGUCGAAUUCAACUUCAUUCUUUUAAACAAUCAGAAGUUUCAUAAUCCAUAAGAUCGUCUUGUUCAUGAUUGAAAUCAUCUUCACCAUCUUGAUAUGUCAUAUGAGCUUGAGAAUUCUUCCCUUUCAAACUCUCUUAGUAGAGGUCAACGAGAUGUUUGGGAGUCCAAUGUCUUAGCCCAAUGAUUAUCCAUACCACAUCUAUGGCACACGGAUUUGGUCGAGUUUGGUGGCUUAAAAGAUGUACGACGGCCUCGGCCAUGUCCACGGCCUCCAUAGGAGCCACGGCCAUAUGAGUUGCCUUGCCCUCGACCAAACGAGUUUCGGUCUCGACCACCACGUCCAUGCCAUU
rnacentral:lncRNA from 1 species